ACCCGCUGAACUUAAGCAUAUCAAUAAGCGGAGGAAAAGAAACCAACAGGGAUUGCCCCAGUAACGGCGAGUGAAGCGGCAACAGCUCAAAUUUGAAAUCUGGCCCCCCCCGGGGGGCCCGAGUUGUAAUUUGCAGAGGAUGCUUUGGGCGAGGCGCCUUCCGAGUUCCCUGGAACGGGACGCCACAGAGGGUGAGAGCCCCGUCUGGUCGGACGCCGAGCCUCUGUAAAGCUCCUUCGACGAGUCGAGUAGUUUGGGAAUGCUGCUCAAAAUGGGAGGUAUAUGUCUUCUAAAGCUAAAUACCGGCCAGAGACCGAUAGCGCACAAGUAGAGUGAUCGAAAGAUGAAAAGCACCUUGAAAAGGGGGUUAAACAGUACGUGAAAUUGUUGAAAGGGAAGCGCUCGUGACCAGACUUGGGGCGGGCGGAUCAGCCGGCGUUCUCGCCGGCGCACUCCGCCCGUCCCAGGCCAGCAUCAAUUCGCGCCGGGGGACAAAGGCGGCGGGAACGUGGCUCCCCAGGGAGUGUUAUAGCCCGCCGCGCCAUGCCCCGGGGGCGGACUGAGGGCCGCGCAUCACUGCAAGGAUGCUGGCGUAAUGGUCACCAGCGACCCGUCUUGAAACACGGGCCAAGGAGUCGUCCUCGUAUGCGAGUGUUCGGGUGUCAAACCCCUACGCGGAAUGAAAGUGAACGUGGGUGAGAGCUUCGGCGCAUCAUCGACCGAUCCUGAUGUUCUCGGAUGGAUUUGAGUAGGAGCAUACGGGGCCGGACCCGAAAGAAGGUGAACUAUGCCUGUGUAGGGUGAAGCCAGAGGAAACUCUGGUGGAGGCUCGCAGCGGUUCUGACGUGCAAAUCGAUCGUCAAACAUGGGCAUGGGGGCGAAAGACUAAUCGAACCUUCUAGUAGCUGGUUUCCGCCGAAGUUUCCCUCAGGAAAU
rnacentral:rRNA from 1 species